rnacentral:rRNA from 1 species
AUUGAACGCUGGCGGCAUGAUUUACACAUGCAAGUCGAACGGUAACAGGCCGCAAGGUGCUGACGAGUGGCGAACGGGUGAGUAAUGCAUCGGAACGUGCCCAGUCGUGGGGGAUAACUACUCGAAAGAGUAGCUAAUACCGCAUACGAUCUAUGGAUGAAAGCGGGGGACCGUAAGGCCUCGCGCGAUUGGAGCGGCCGAUGUCAGAUUAGGUAGUUGGUGGGGUAAAGGCUCACCAAGCCAACGAUCUGUAGCUGGUCUGAGAGGACGACCAGCCACACUGGGACUGGGACACGGCCCAGAGGCCUACGGGAGGCAGCAGUGUGGAAUUUUGGACAAUGGGCGCAAGCCUGAUCCAGCAAUGCCGCGUGCAGGAAGAAGGCCUUCGGGUUGUAAACUGCUUUUGUACGGAACGAAACGGCUCUGGUUAAUACCCGGGGCUAAUGACGGUACCGUAAGAAUAAGCACCGGCUAACUACGUG